rnacentral:rRNA from 1 species
CUAUUUGUUGCCUCGGCGGUGCCUGUUCCGACAGCCCGCCAGAGGACCCCAAACCCUGAUUACAUUUAAGAAGUCUUCUGAGUAAACCGAUUAAAUAAAUCAAAACUUUCAACAACGGAUCUCUUGGUUCUGGCAUCGAUGAAGAACGCAGCGAAAUGCGAUAAGUAAUGUGAAUUGCAGAAUUCAGUGAAUCAUCGAAUCUUUGAACGCACAUUGCGCCCGCUAGUAUUCUGGCGGGCAUGCCUGUCCGAGCGUCAUUUCAACCCUCAAGCCCCCGGGCUUGGUGUUGGGGAUCGGCGAGCCUCCGCGCCCGCCGUCCCCUAAAUCUAGUGGCGGUCUCGCUGUAGCUUCCUCUGCGUAGUAGCACACCUCGCACUGGGAAACAGCGCGGCCACGCCGUUAAACCCCCAACUUCUGAACGUUUGACCUCGGAUCAGGUAGGAAUACCCGCUGAACUUAAGCAUAUC